rnacentral:rRNA from 1 species
ACGGAGGGUGCAAACGUUAAUCGGAAUUACUGGGCGUAAAGCGCGCGUAGGCGGUUUGGUAAGUGGGAUGUGAAAGCCCCGGGCUUAACCUGGGAACUGCAUUCCAAACUGCCAGGCUAGAGUUUGGUAGAGGGAGGUGGAAUUUCCUGUGUAGCGGUGAAAUGCGUAGAUAUAGGAAGGAACACCAGUGGCGAAGGCGGCCUCCUGGACCAAAACUGACGCUGAGGUGCGAAAGCGUGGGGAGCAAACAGG